rnacentral:rRNA from 1 species
GAUGAACGCUGGCGGCGUGCCUAAUACAUGCAAGUCGAGCGAACAGACGAGGAGCUUGCUCCUCUGACGUUAGCGGCGGACGGGUGAGUAACACGUGGAUAACCUACCUAUAAGACUGGGAUAACUUCGGGAAACCGGAGCUAAUACCGGAUAAUAUAUUGAACCGCAUGGUUCAAUAGUGAAGGACGGUUUUGCUGUCACUUAUAGAUGGAUCCGCGCCGCAUUAGCUAGUUGGUAAGGUAACGGCUUACCAAGGCAACGAUGCGUAGCCGACCUGAGAGGGGGAUCGGCCACACUGGAACUGAGACACGGUCCAGACUCCUACGGGAGGCAGCAGUAGGGAAUCUUCCGCAAUGGGCGAAAGCCUGACGGAGCAACGCCGCGUGAGUGAUGAAGGUCUUCGGAUCGUAAAACUCUGUUAUUAGGGAAGAACAAAUGUGUAAGUAACUAUGCACGUCUUGACGGUACCUAAUCAGAAAGCCACGGCUAACUACGUG